rnacentral:rRNA from 17 species
AGAUCACCCGCUGAGUUUAAGCAUAUAAAUAAGCGGAGGA